rnacentral:rRNA from 1 species
GCUAAACGCGAAGAACCUUACCUGGCCUUGACAUGUCCGGAAUUCUGCAGAGAUGCGGAAGUGCCUUCGGGAAUCGGAACACAGGUGCUGCAUGGCUGUCGUCAGCUCGUGUCGUGAGAUGUUGGGUUAAGUCCCGCAACGAGCGCAACCCUUGUCCUUAGUUGCCAGCGAGUAAUGUCGGGAACUCUAAGGAGACUGCCGGUGACAAACCGGAGGAAGGUGGGGAUGACGUCAAGUCCUCAUGGCCCUUACGGCCAGGGCUACACACGUACUACAAUGGUCGGUACAGAGGGUUGCCAAACCGCAAGGUGGAGCCAAUCCCAGAAAGCCGAUCCCAGUCCGGAUCGGAGUCUGCAACUCGACUCCGUGAAGUCGGAAUCGCUAGUGAUCGCAGAUCAGCAUUGCUGCGGUGAAUACGUUCCCGGGUCUUGUACACACCG